rnacentral:rRNA from 1 species
GAUGAACGCUGGCGGCGUGCCUAAUACAUGCAAGUCGAGCGAACAGACGAGGAGCUUGCUCCUUUGACGUUAGCGGCGGACGGGUGAGUAACACGUGGUUAACCUACCUAUAAGACUGGGAUAACUUCGGGAAACCGGAGCUAAUACCGGAUAAUAUUUCGAACCGCAUGGUUCGAUAGUGAAAGAUGGCUUUGCUAUCACUUAUAGAUGGACCUGCGCCGUAUUAGCUAGUUGGUAAGGUAACGGCUUACCAAGGCAACGAUACGUAGCCGACCUGAGAGGGUGAUCGGCCACACUGGAACUGAGACACGGUCCAGACUCCUACGGGAGGCAGCAGUAGGGAAUCUUCCGCAAUGGGCGAAAGCCUGACGGAGCAACGCCGCGUGAGUGAUGAAGGUCUUCGGAUCGUAAAACUCUGUUAUUAGGGAAGAACAAACGUGUAAGUAACUGUGCACGUCUUGACGGUACCUAAUCAGAAAGCCACGGCUAACUACGUG